GGCGAGAUGGCCGAGCGGUCUAAGGCGCCAGACUAAGGAUCAGCUUGUCUCACAAGCAUCUCAUCUGGUCCGAAAGGGCGUGGGUUCGAAUCCCACUCUCGUCA
rfam:Cylindrobasidium torrendii FP15055 ss-10 unplaced genomic scaffold CYLTOscaffold_37, whole genome shotgun sequence.